GACUGAAGUGAUAUAGCCCACCUGAAUCUAGGAUUUCAUCAAAUCUCAAUCUAAGCAGGGUUCAAUCUAGUGAGUUUGGAUGGGAGACCUCCAAGGAAAACCCAGGUACUACAAGAA
ensembl:rRNA 5S_rRNA 5S ribosomal RNA